UACAGAGGUGGCAAGCGUUGUUCGGAAUUACUGGGCGUAAAGGGCGCGUAGGCGGUCGAUAAGUCCCGUGUGAAAUCCCUCGGCUCAACUGAGGAAUGGCACGGGAAACUGACGGGCUUGAGUUCGGGAGAGGGGAAGCGGAAUUCCGGGGUGUAGCGGUGGAAAUGCGUAGAUAUCCGGAGGAACACCGGUGGCGAAGGCGGCUUCCUGGACCGACACUGACGCUGAGGCGCGAAAGCUAGGGGAGCAAACGGG
rnacentral:rRNA from 1 species